CCUAUAUUUAGCACUCGUGUGACACGAGGAUAUUCAGUGUAUAUAUAAGAUAGACAGUAUUUAUAAUGUAAUUGAAUUAUAAAGCUUCAGUAUGGCCGUGGCUGUUAUAUUAAAUCAUAUUAAUACAUUAUUAUAUAUUCUAGCCUCAUGGAUCACAACUGCCCAGUAUAUGGUACAAUACACUUCAAAUUUGACAGAUAUAUCGGUUUUUACACUGGAUAGAUUAGAGAUUCAUCUGGAUGUCCAAGUAAAAUAUAGACCUAACUUAUUUGAGAGAAACACGAUGGUUAAUCCACAGUUAAACCCUGACAGUUACCAAAUGAUUGUCAACGCAACAAUUACAGACGCAAUAAAGGGAACAUCCCCGCAUUUUUCGGUGCUUGAAUAUUUUCAAAAGAGAGAUGUCGUGGAAGCAGCUUUUAAAGACGCUAUAGACUUAAGAUUUGCAGGUGUAUGUUGUGAUUUUGGAUGUAACAGCAGAAACAGAGGAUGUAAAGAAGGUUGUAAAUCCAGGGAAACGUGUACAACUAAUGAUAAAGGAGUUUUUACUUUAUUAGAUGAAUUUAAACUUGUCGAGAUUCACAUUCCUGAUAUCGUUAGAGAGAGAAUAUUACAGGUCCUUGCUAAAACUACUACCACAACAACCCCGUAAAAGACAGGACGUGUAGUUAUGUUUUCAAUGUUUGAAACGUUAAUAGUAUUUAAGGAAUUCAAAGCACUAUCCUACAUCAUGCGUUGCUAAAAAGUAGAUUAUUGCUUGAAUUUAAGAUACACGUAUUGUGAAAUAUGAAAUUAUUACAAAAUCGAUUACAUAUUGUUCUCGAUGAAAAUUUGUUUUUAUACUUUGGUCGUUAACAAUAAAGAUUCUAACAUAUCGCAAUAAGUAUCUAAAUGAGCAGAAAGAUGACAAAGUUCGGUCUGUUUGCAAUUGUCUUCUGAAACGUUCGCAUCAAAAGCAUGGCCAUUCACCAUUGUUUAUUUGUUAGAUUUUCCACAUGUAGCCCUUAUAUUUUUUAAUUUUGCACUUUGGACUUUUUCGGGUAUAGUUUGUUAAAUUUUGCUGAUGGUGCGUUAUUUUGUAGAGGCCUUUACCAUUUUGGAUUAACUGACUGUAUUUUCUUCAGUGCUAUUUUAAUAGACGGUUCCCAUCAUCCCAUUUAUUAAACUGUCUUUUCUCUACGGUCUGUAAUCUUUCUAUUUAAUAUUUUGUUAUAAAAUAUAAUGCAUUGGAGGUUUUCAUAGGUUUUGUUUUAAUAUAUUUGUUUUUAAUUUUUGAAUGUGUUAUAUGAUACAGAAGUUUACAAUAUUAUAUUUAACUUAAGGGAGUACACUCCUUUGAUUUAAGUAAAAAAUAAAGUAAUAAGUAGAUUAAUAGCA